GAUGAUGUGGAUUAAUUCGAUGCAACGCGAAGACCCUUCCUUACCUUUGAAUCCGCAGAACCCUCUGGAGACAGAGGGGUGCCUUCGGGAGCUGCGAGACAGGUGCUGCAUGGCUGUCGUCAGCUCGUGUCGUGAGAUGUUGGGUUAAGUCUCGUAACGAGCGCAACCCUUGUCCUUAGUUGCCAACAGGUAGAGCUGGGUACUUUAAGGAGACUGCCGGUGAUAAACCGGAGGAAGGUGGGGAUGAUGUCAAGUCAUCAUGGUCCUUACAGGUAGGGCUACACACGUGCUACAAUGGCCGGUACAAAGGGACGCAAACUCGCGAGAGGGAGCCAAUCUCAGAAAGCCGGUCGUGGUCCGGAUUGGAGUCUGCAACUCGACUCCAUGAAGCUGGAAUCGCUAGUAAUCGUGGAUCAGCACGCCACGGUGAAUACGUUCCCGGGCCUUGUACACUCCGCCC
rnacentral:rRNA from 1 species